rnacentral:rRNA from 1 species
UCUCCUACGGGAGGCAGCAGUUAGGAAUAUUCGUCAAUGGGGGGAACCCUGAACGAGCAAUGCCGCGUGAGUGAUGAAGGCCCUAUGGGUUGUAAAACUCUGUUGUUGAGAAAGAAUGGUAAGAUUAGGAAAUGAUUCUUACUUGACGAUACUCUUCAAGAAAGCCACGGCUAACUACGUGCCAGCAGCCGCGGUAAUACGUAGGUGGCGAGCGUUAUCCGGAUUUAUUGGGCGUAAAGCGUCCGCAGCCGGUUUAUUAAGUAUAGAAUAAAACUUCGGGGCUCAACCCCGUCUCGUUCUAUAAA